AAGUCGUAACAAGGUUUCCGUAGGUGAACCUGCGGAAGGAUCAUUAACACGUAUCCAACGUUAAACCCCCCUGUGAACUUUUAGCUUGCUCUCGUAGCCCGCCAGAUACUGCAAUCCCUGGUAAAUCAUUGUUGACCAGUUUUGAUUCAGGGACCUCAGUUCUGGUGAGAAGUUACAGUUACGAUUGAGCGGAGAUAGCUGCAUGGCAUCCCGAAGCAGUCAGUGUCUGAAAGUGUCAUUGCUUGUCUAAGGAUCUCGCCUCAACGAUUGCCAGAGGUCGCUCACCGACCGGCAGACAUGCAACCGGGUCCCCACGCCCCUUUACAACCCCAUUACCUCUGUGAGUCGCGGGAAACUAGCGGCUAAAAAACCUCGAACAACUGUUAACAAUGGAUAUCUUGGUUCUC
rnacentral:misc_RNA from 1 species